CAAGUCGCACGAGAAAGGGUAGCAAUACCUGAGUAAAGUGGCGCACGGGUGAGUAACACGUGAAUAAUCUACCUCCGAGUGGGGAAUAACUGAGAGAAAUCUUAGCUAAUACCGCAUAACACUUACGAGUCAAAGCAGCAAUGCGCUUGGAGAGGAGUUCGCGGCAGAUUAGUUAGUUGGCGGGGUAAUGGCCCACCAAGACGAUGAUCUGUAUCCGGCCUGAGAGGGCGCACGGACACACUGGAACUGAAACACGGUCCAGACUCCUACGGGAGGCAGCAGUGGGGAAUUUUGCGCAAUGGGGGAAACCCUGACGCAGCAACGCCGCGUGGAGGAUGAAAUCCCUUGGGAUGUAAACUCCUUUCGAUAGGGAAGAUAAUGACGGUACCUAUAGAAGAAGCCCCGGCUAACUUCGUGCCAGCAGCCGCGGUAAUACGAGGGGGGCAAGCGUUGUUCGGAUUUAUUGGGCGUAAAGGGUGCGUAGGCGGUUUGGCAAGUCUUGUGUGAAAUCUUUGGGCUCAACCCAAAGUCUGCAUAAGAAACUGCCGGGCUUGAGUAUGGGAGAGGUGAGUGGAAUUUCCGGUGUAGCGGUGAAAUGCGUAGAUAUCGGAAGGAACACCUGUGGCGAAAGCGGCUCACUGGACCAUUACUGACGCUGAGGCACGAAAGCUAGGGGAGCAAACAGGAUUAGAUACCCUGGUAGUCCUAGCCCUAAACGAUGAUUGUUUGAUGUGGCAGGUACCCAAUCCUGCCGUGUCGAAGCUAACGCGAUAAACAAUCCGCCUGGGGAGUACGGUCGCAAGGCUGAAACUCAAAGGAAUUGACGGGGGCCCGCACAAGCGGUGGAGCAUGUGGUUUAAUUCGACGCAACGCGAAGAACCUUACCUGGGCUCGAAAUGUAGUGGAAUCCGGCA
rnacentral:rRNA from 1 species